rnacentral:rRNA from 1 species
UACGGGGGAGGACAGCGUUGUUCGAAUUACUGGGCGUAAAGGGCUCGUAGGUGGCCAACUAAGUCAGACGUGAAAUCCCCAGGCUCAACUUGGGAACUGCGUCUGAUACUGGAUGGCUUGAAUUCGGGAGAGGGAUGCAGAAUUCCAGGUGUAGCGGUGGAAAUGCGUAGAUAUCUGGAGGAAUACCGGUGGCGAAGGCGGCAUCCUGGACCGAGAUUGACACUGAUGAGCAGAAAGCUAGGGGAGCAAACGGG